UACAGAGGAGCCAAGCGUUGUCCGGAUUGACUGGGCGUAAAGCGCACGCAGGCGGUUGCGCGCGUGGGGUGUGAAAUCUGGCCGCUUAACGGCCAGGCGCCAUCCCAUACGGCGCGACUGGAGUGAUGCAGAGGUCGAUGGAAUUGCCGGUGUAGUGGUGAAAUGCGUAGAUAUCAGGAGGAACACCGGUGGCGAAGGCGGGUCUCUGGGCCGAUACUGACGCUGAGGCGCGAAAGCUAGGGGAGCAAACGGG
rnacentral:rRNA from 1 species